ACAGUUGAGAAACAAUAUGUUUUGUUCGUUGACAAAAGAAAACAAGAAGAAAGAAAAAAAAUGGUGCAAGAAUGAGAUAUUUCUUGGCUUGUCCCCAACAACAACAAAAGUAAUGGCACACUCAAGUUACGUUUAAAGUUCAAAAUUUCCAAAUUCUUCAAAUCAUACCAUGACUCAAGAAGAAGAAGAAGGACGUACAAAUACAAGAAAAGUUGGAAGGGGAGUAACUUAUGGUUUAAGUGUUGCAAAUAAAAAAGAUGAGUACUACAAACAAAAUGUGUGUUUUCAUUCUACUUGAUAAGAUGGUGGCUGCUGGACCAAGAGUUGCAGAUUUUGUCACUGAAAUUUUUAUUAUUGUUCAAAAGCAUACUCCUUUUAACAUUGACAAGUGGAAGCAAGUUCCCGAAGUUGCAAAAGAAAAGAUAGUUACAAAAGUUUUGGUAAAUUUAAUUUUUGUACACAUAAUUUUUUUUAUUUUAUUUUUUUCGUGUUAUUAGCCUAACUUGACAUUAAUUAGUUUAAUUUAUUUAUCAUGUACAUGA